rnacentral:rRNA from 1 species
AUGCAGUCGAGCGGUAAGGCCCCCUUCGGGGGUACACGAGCGGCGAACGGGUGAGUAACACGUGAGCAACCUACCCUCAACUUUGGGAUAAGCCUCGGAAACGGGGUCUAAUACCGGAUAAUACUUUGCUCCUCAUGGGGUGGGGUUGAAAGUUCUGGCGGUUGGGGAUGGGCUCGCGGCCUAUCAGCUUGUUGGUGGGGUAAUGGCCUACCAAGGCGUCGACGGGUAGCCGGCCUGAGAGGGCGACCGGCCACACUGGGACUGAGACACGGCCCAGACUCCUACGGGAGGCAGCAGUGGGGAAUAUUGCGCAAUGGACGAAAGUCUGACGCAGCAACGCCGCGUGAGGGAUGACGGCCUUCGGGUUGUAAACCUCUUUCAGCAGGGACGAAGCGAGAGUGACGGUACCUGCAGAAGAAGGACCGGCCAACUACGUGCCAGCAGCCGCGGUAAUACGUAGGGUCCGAGCGUUGUCCGGAAUUAUUGGGCGUAAAGGGCUCGUAGGCGGUUCGUCACGUCGGGAGUGAAAACUCGGGGCUUAACCCCGAGCCUGCUUCCGAUACGGGCAGACUAGAGGUAGGCAGGGGAGAGCGGAACUCCUGGUGUAGCGGUGGAAUGCGCAGAUAUCAGGAAGAACACCGGUGGCGAAGGCGGCUCUCUGGGCCUUACCUGACGCUGAGGAGCGAAAGCGUGGGUAGCGAACAGGAUUAGAUACCCUGGUAGUCCACGCCGUAAACGUUGGGCGCUAGGUGUGGGGGACAUUCCACGUCCUCCGUGCCGCAGCUAACGCAUUAAGCGCCCCGCCUGGGGGAGUACGGCCGCAAGGCUAAAACUCAAAGGAAUUGACGGGGGGCCCGCACAAGCGGCGGGAGCAUGCGGGAUUAAUUUCGAUGCAACGCCGA